rnacentral:lncRNA from 1 species
AGUGUUUUUGGGCAUCAUGGUUAUGCAGCCACAAUGCUCUGGGGGUCUCUCCUUGGAUCUUACACUGCUUGUUUUGGCUUACGGACCAGUGCAUACUUUUAUGGCCAUUCAUUACUACAGGAAUGAAAAUAAGGCCCUUGAACCACUCCCCACCAUCCUAAAGCAGCUUCUUCUUACAUGGCCUUGGAUCAGCUCGCCAUCCACGUCCAACAGAACAAAUGCUAGCACAGGGGUCUUCCGUGGCUGAGACAGGUUCUGUGACUUGCAUUUGACUGAUGAAAUAUGGCAGAAGUGACACUGUGUGACUUCUGAAGCUUGUGCAGAAGAUGCUUUGCAUCAUCUUCCAGGAGUUCUUGAAACACUUUUUGGGACCCAGCUACCACAUAGUGAGAAGACCCAGCCACACACAGGUGCUCCAGUGGACAGCCCCAUCUGUGCUCCAAGCCAGCAUCAACUGCCAGCCUUGUGAAUGAACCACCUUGGACUUUCAGCCCCAUUGAGCCUGCAGACAACUCCAACCCUACAUACUGCAUGACUGCAGUAGGAUGAAAUAGAUAAACAGGCCCAGGGAGGUUUUGUGCCUAGCUUGAGUCAACACUGCUCUGGUGGUGGUCAGUCUCCUGCUGCUCGGUCCACAGUGCACACUAUUUCUGCUCUCUCUGGCUGGAGAGUCAGGGAAACUGUUGAGCCUACGAUAAUGAAGUCAAUUCUGAUCAACUGAGAUGCAGGAGGAACUCUGAGCAAGAUGAAGAAGGGGUGAAUGGUGACCUGUUCAGCCUGGCUGUUGGGCAUCCCCGGCUUUCAGCAGCACUGGAGGAAACGGAGCCAUGAUGGGCAACACACCAGGAGGCAACGGCAUAAUUUCUGCCCCCUGGAGAAGUCUGGCGCUGGCUAACAGACACAGCACAGGACUCAGGAGUGGAAGUGAAGCGUGCUCAUAACAUAUGAACGCAAGUGCCAAGCACCGUCCUUGAAAGAACAGAGCAGAACCUGACCAUCAGGCUGAUAGAAGUUGCAGAAAUAUGCCUUCACCAUGAUAAAAAUCUGGAUGUUGCAUAUGGAAAUUCAGGAUUUUUUUUAGCUUUUUUGAACAAUUGGAAAAUCUAAUGAUACUGGGAUACAAGACUUGUUUUUCUUGCAUGUUAACACCCAUUGGAGCUGAGCAGGGACUGUCCCGCUUUUUGUGGGACAUGAGUUUUGUGUGGGACAGAUAACCAUGGUUCCCACUGCUCCCUACUCCCGACACCUGGCCUGUCCUUCUCAAUUACUUGCCUGGUCCCUGGAGCCAUUUCAGUUUGAACGUCCUGGACCAGACUCAGGAAGAGUUAGUUUGGAAAAGUGUCAUGGAAGUAGGAAAUUCUUGAACAGAUUUUGAAAGGCAAGAUAAGAGUAGGCUGGCUGAUUAGGUGCACGGCAUUUUAGGAAGAAGCUUUCUAGAAGACCAGAAUGCUUCGGUUUAGCCAGAAGUAGGGCUGAUCUCAGGGUAUCUGUGCUUUGGAGAAAUCCAGAUGGUGUUGGCUGAGCAAGGUCUUAGCUCCUACUCUGUGCCAGGCAUUUUGUAGGAGCACUUCAGUGGACAAGACAAAUAGUUUCCUCCCUCAGGGAGCUUACAGCCUACUGGUGGAGGUGGCCAGUCAACAAGAAAACAAACUGCUACAUGUAAUUUACCCACUGUAACCAGUACUAUAAAAGGAACAGACAGAGCAUUGUUGUCACAGAGAAUUGAAAGUGGUAUAACAUGACCUGGAAAAGGAGGCAGAGUCAGAUCACAGGCAUCUGAGUAAGAGGUUAGAGCUAGACUCCACUCUACAAAGCAGCUGUGAAAGGUCUGAAGGAUAGGAAUGACCUGAUUCAACUUACAUGUCAAAGGGGCUUGAGAGAUCGGCCUGGGAAAGGGCAAGGAAAGGCAGGACAACACAGAAGGAAGACAGGGAGGCAGUGAGCUGCUAUCCGAAAGGCACCUGGUGUGGGCUCUCCUGCCCUUGCAGCUGCCCACUGCCAUCAGAGCACUGCCAGUACUCCCUCCUCAGUUGGCAGCAGUCCAUGCAGCUUUCUCCUGGGUAUUUCCUUCAUCUCUACCCUUGGUGCUCAUGUUUUAGAACUUUUCUCCAGAAUAUAAAAUGAAGGGGAUGGUGACUUGCCUCUCUCUCCCUCCCCUGCAAACCCACCCCUGACCUCCCAGUACACAUACACACAAACCUGCAAGUGUGUACACACAGAGUGAUCUCAGGGUGCCUCACACCUAGGGUAGAAAGAAGCAGGUGGAAGAGCUUUGCCUGGCUGGAGUGACACCCACCAACCUGAGCUUAGCAGGAGUGGAGGCAGUUAGGUAGAGUAGGGCUGAUUGAUAAUAGCCUUGAAGUCUGAGACUGAAAGAGUUUCAUUAUGAUUUGGGAGGCAGCUGGGAGCCUUUGUGGAUGUGCAAAGAGGAGACCAAUGUGAUCUAAGUGACACUGGAGGAAAAAGAUUCUUGAUGAUGUGUGUCCAAUAGACGUGAGGGGACCCACACAGGCUGGAGGAAGGUGAGCUUAUUGGGAGGCAGGAGUCCAGGUGUGCAGGGAUUAUGACUUGGACCAAAGGUGUGGGAAGGGGAAGCAGCCAGAAGAAGAAAUGGCAGGAUUUAAUGUUGCACUUAGUGUGCCUCUGGGUGUAUGUUGGGGGUGGGAGACACGGGUAUAAAGAGAAAUGAAUGAGAAACCACGAAUUUAUUUGGCAAUGGCAUGGGACCUGGGAAUGGAUUUGGUAGGACAGCCAAGAGAAAUGUUUAAGAGCUCACUCAGACAUGAGAAGUCGUCCCUUCCUUCUCCCUCCAUCUUGGACGGUUAAUUACUUUGUCUCAGGUGUGUGUCCAUUCCUGUGCUUGUACCAUGAUGUCGUGUUAUAAUAUGUCUUUUGUCUGUCUAUACCUGCUGCUGAUCUGUGAGCCUCUGAAGACAGAUGCCUUAGUUUACUCCCUUUCUCUUCCCACUUCAUAGUUAGCAGGGGGCCUGGCCCUUAGCGAGAACUCAGCAUGUUUUGGUAAGUGAGUGAAUGGGAACUUUUCAGAGGCGUGCUGUUGAACCCCAGCCACUGUGCAACCACUGUAAAAUGUACACAUUUUGUGGAAGCUGCAGCAUCCUGUCAACAGUUGUGGAAAUCAGGUUACAGCCCAGAGCCUCACAAAGCCCCGGCCAUUACAGCGACUGACAGGUGGUCCUGGAAGUAGGGCAUGGAUUGGCGGACAGGAGGCUGGAGGAGUUAAAAUAGUGCUGGGGGAAUCUGAGAUGAAAUUGCAGGGUCGUUUAAACACCUUAGGGUUACAAAUGGGCUUUCACCCUUAAAAUCCCAUCUGUAAAUAUGUAGUCUUAAACUGCCUAAAGAGUCCUCUUAAUGUUGUUAAAUCCCAUGGUUGGUAGAGGCCAUAGCAAAGGCUUCGUACACUCUCAUCCUGUUGCUUUCACUGAAAUUACCUCUGUGUUACAAUGAAAUCUGAAACCUGGAAGAUAGGUUAAAAAUGAAACUCCCUACCACAUGCUAUGCUACCAACCAAAAUCAACUGAAUUUAUUAAGCUUUCUAGAUAACUACCUUACUCAGCUUUUAUUCUGUGCCAGGCAUUGAUUAUAUGCACAUCAUAGCAUUUAAAGUUCACAACAAUUCCAUGAGAUAGGCACUGGUGUUGCCACUGGUGUUGCAGGUGAGCAAUCUGACGCCUAAAGGGUUGAAGUUACUUGCCCACUAAGUGUGCUCUAUUAUGAGCUCAUCCCUUGGCCAUGCAGUCUUCCAACUUAACAACAAGAAAGACAAGCCUGGGAAGGACAGAAGAGGUGGGGCUUCAAGUAGAGCAGGGAGUUUUCCAUGAAGAAGCAUGAAUGCAAGCUGCUUGAGCAGCCCAGUCCCCCCAGAGAGUACACGUGGAGGGAGACAGAGUGAUCAAGACUGCUUUUUACAGUGGGUCUUCAAGAGACACUUGGGGAGGUAGAGGAGGAGACAGCCAUGGGACCAAAGGACCUUUCCAAGAAGCAACCAGGAGUUCACCCAAGUCCCACUAUAGCUGAAACACCCUGUUAGCAGGACCUUCAUCUUCUCUGUUUCUUCUUACCUAUUCCUUCCCCAAUCACACAUUCCUAAUAGAUAAACAGAUAGAUUGGGUGCCAACAGUGUUUUCAAUUCAGAUGUUCAUUUAGCAGGAACUUGGCUAAGGAUCAGCCUAUCUAGAAUCUGGGACCAGAUGAGAGUAUAACAACUACGUGAGAAAAGCAUACGAUAUCAAAGCAAUAUAGCGCAUCUAACUUGCCUUCCGAGAAGCCAAGGAAACCCAAAGGAUGGCUCAAAAAGAGCAAGACUGCACUGCACUUCCUCUGGCCAUUACUACAACCAAAAGUGGUUUUGUGCAUGCUCAGCAGUCUUGGAAAAUUGCCUUUGCCCAAGGCCACCCAGGGCAACAAUGGUAAAACAAUGGAGGGCAAAGGGGUGAAUCUGAAUUUCAACAUAGUGCUUUCCAGAUAGUGGCUGCAGAAAUUCACUUAAUGGUUUUAAACUGAACUUUUCCGAAACUCAAAAGAGAUACAGGUUAUGGAUUUGAGGAAGGCUGUUAUACUGAUAGUGUUUUGUUUUGUUUUGUCUUUUCUUUUCUUUUUUUUUAGGGCUGCACCCUCAGCAUAUGGAGGUACCCAGGCUAGGAGUCGAAUCAGAGCUGUAGCUGCCGGCCUGCGCCACAGCCACAGCGACCCCAGAUCCAAGCCAAGUCUGCUACCUACACCACGGCUUAUAGCAAUGCCAGAUCCUUAACCCAUUGAGCGAGGCCAGGAUCAAACCCGUGUCCUCAUGGAUGCUGAUCAGAUUCAUUUCCAUUGGAGCACAUCGGGAACUCCUGCUGAUAGUAUUAGAGAUGAAAAGCUUUUGGGAGAUAAUUUAGUUCAGACUCCUAAUUUUUAAAGGCCAGAAAACUGAAGCUAAGAAAGGAGAAGCAACUUGCUCAUGGUUACACAACCAGACAAUUGACAUACUGGGGCUAGAAACCAAGUUUCCUCUCUGUUCUGCUGGAAUUUUUCCCCCUAGGGGACAUAGGAGAGUUAAGCACCCAAAUAAAAACAUUGUCUCAG